CUGCACGUUGGGCUUGUUUACACUUUCUCUGAAUGAUGAAGAGUGUGCUCCGCAAUCCGAGUCGGAGUGCAGUAGGGGGCAGCCGAAUGUACUGGAAGUGUCGUAGCUUUUAUGUUGCAAGAUGUGGUGUAAUUAUUACAUGGAAGGUGUUAUAGAUCUGAUCCUGUUAACCACCUAAAGAAUGGAGCAACACAUUUCUUCGGUGGAUCAGUGAGCUCACUGCAUUCGUCGAGCUCAGAGGAGCCCAAGCUGACGGUGGUGUUUUUCCUUGGUGGUUGCACGUAUGCCGAGAUCUCGGCACUGCAAGACGACGCAUCAGGAGUUGUAAACCAGUGCACACGCCGUGAGCUGAUGACAAAUGCAGGAAAGAUUAUGAUAAGCUGCAAAUUUGAGUGUAAGAACGAUAAAACGUACGUACACAUCACAAGCAAGCAGGAGUGCAUUAACACGAGCCACGAAGCAGCUCAUUUAAUGAAAGUAAAGGCGAAUUACACAUGCGAGUUGGGUGUCUGCAAUGGACAUGCUCAAUGUGUACAUUCCGGACUCUAUAUCGGGUGCUGGAAAGCAAAGAAGUUUCAAGCAUUUUACAAGCAAUAAAGGUUCUGACGCACAUGGCACAUUAUAACGAAAAUGUGUGUAAGUGACAAGGAAGAGAAGUGACUGAAUAAAGAUGCCUCCUCCAUGUAACCUUGUUUUAUGGUUAUUGAAAUACUUGAUGACAAAAAAUAAAAAGCAAUAUGUAAUAAAUUCUA